rnacentral:rRNA from 1 species
CUUCNUAUUACCUAAGCAUCCGCCCGGGAACUACGAGCACAAACGCUUAAAACCCUAAGGACUUGGCGGUGUCCCAAACCCACCUAGAGGAGCCUGU